UAAUACUGGGGGGGCAAGCGUUGUUCGGAUUUACUGGGCGUAAAGGGCUCGUAGGCGGCCACCUAAGUCGGUUGUGAAAUCCCUCGGCUCAACCGAGGAACUGCGAUCGAUACUGGGUGGCUUGAAGCCGGGAGAGGGAUGCGGAAUUCCAGGUGUAGCGGUGAAAUGCGUAGAUAUCUGGAGGAACACCCGUGGCGAAGGCGGCAUCCUGGACCGGUCUUGACGCUGAGGAGCGAAAGCUAGGGUAGCAAACGGGAUUAGAUACCCCGGUAGUCCUAGCCCUAAACGAUGAAUGCUUGGUGUGGCGGGUAUUGAUCCCUGCCGUGCCGGAGCUAACGCGUUAAGCAUUCCGCCUGGGGAGUACGGUCGCAAGGCUG
rnacentral:rRNA from 1 species